AAAUUGAAGAGUUUGAUCAUGGCUCAGAUUGAACGCUGGCGGCAGGCCUAACACAUGCAAGUCGAACGGUAACAGGAAGCAGCUUGCUGCUUCGCUGACGAGUGGCGGACGGGUGAGUAAUGUCUGGGAAACUGCCUGAUGGAGGGGGAUAACUACUGGAAACGGUGGCUAAUACCGCAUAAUGUCGCAGGACCAAAGAGGGGGACCUUCGGGCCUCUUGCCAUCAGAUGUGCCCAGAUGGGAUUAGCUUGUUGGUGAGGUAACGGCUCACCAAGGCGACGAUCCCUAGCUGGUCUGAGAGGAUGACCAGCCACACUGGAACUGAGACACGGUCCAGACUCCUACGGGAGGCAGCAGUGGGGAAUAUUGCACAAUGGGCGCAAGCCUGAUGCAGCCAUGCCGCGUGUAUGAAGAAGGCCUUCGGGUUGUAAAGUACUUUCAGCGGGGAGGAAGGUG
rnacentral:rRNA from 1 species